GGGGGGCUGGACCCACAAAUAUUCUCUUGACCUCAGAUCGGGUGAGACUACCCGCUGAACUUAAGCAUAUCAAUAAGCGGAGGAAAGAACUAACAAGGAUUCCCCUAGUAACUGCGAGUGAAGCGGGAAAAGCUCAAAUUUAAAAUCUGGUGGCCUUUGACCAUCCGAGUUGUAAUUUAGAGAAGCGUUUUCCGCGCUGGACCGUGCACAAGUCUCCUGGAAUGGAGCAUCAUGGAGGGUGAGAAUCCCGUCUUUGGCAUGGACACACCAGGGCUUUUGUGAUGCGCUCUCGAAGAGUCGAGUUGUUUGGGAAUGCAGCUCAAAAUGGGUGGUGAACUCCAUCUAAAGCUAAAUAUUGGCGAGAGACCGAUAGCGAACAAGUACCGUGAGGGAAAGAUGAAAAGCACUUUGGAAAGAGAGUGAAACAGUACGUGAAAUUGUUGAAAGGGAAACGCUUAAAGUCAGUCGCGUCGUCCGAGACUCAGCCUUGCCUCGGCUUGGCGUACUUUUCGGCCGACGGGUCAGCAUCGAUUUUGCCCCUUGGAUAAUGGCAAGGGAAAUGUGACACCUUUAUAGGUGUGUUAUAGUCUUUUGUCGCAUACAAGGGUCGGGAUCGAGGAUCUCAGCACGCGCCCUUUGGGUGUCGGAGCUAUGCUCACGAUACGUGCUUAGGAUGUUGGCGUAAUGGCUUUAAACGACCCGUCUG
rnacentral:rRNA from 1 species